rfam:Triticum aestivum genome assembly, contig: Triticum_aestivum_CS42_TGACv1_scaffold_165121_2DL
AAAGUACUCCCUCCGUCCCAAAAUUCUUGUCUUAGAUUUGUCUAGAUACGAUGUAUCAAGUCACAUUUUAGUAUUAGAUACAUUCGUAUCUAGACAAAUCUAAGACAAGAAAUUUGGUACAGAGGGAGUAGUUG